rnacentral:miRNA from 1 species
ACGCCCCCGUUAGUCGACAGGC